CCCUUAGAUGUUCUGGGCCGCACGCGCGCUACACUGACGAUGGCAACGAGUUUUUCCUUCGCCGAAAGGUGUGGGUAAUCUUUUGAAACAUCGUCGUGCUGGGGAUAGAUCAUUGCAAUUUUUGAUCUUGAACGAGGAAUUCCUAGUAAGCGCGAGUCAUCAGCUCGCGUUGAUUACGUCCCUGCCCUUUGUACACACCGCCCGUCGCUACUACCGAUUGAAUGGUCCGGUGAAGCCUCGGGAUUGUGGCCAGUUCACUUUAUUGGGAGUUGGCUGUGAGAACUUGUCUAAACCUUAUCAUUUAGAGGAAGGUGAAGUCGUAACA
rnacentral:rRNA from 1 species